GUGUAGAAUUAGAUAUUUGGAAGCAGCAGCAUCAAGAGAGAGAAGCUGGAUGAGUGCGCACCUUUGGAUCAGCCAACGGAAGCAACUCCAAUUCACGAUGGAGCAGGAGUGGAAGGAGAGAGAAAAGAGAUAAGCUGCAAAAGGGUUAAAAGGUAGACUCACAUUUUUUAUUAAUUUAUAAUGCGGCUCAUUCGGCGUUCAGGCGCGUUUUACGCACUCUAGGCUCUCAGCUUGUGUUUAUGACAAAUAUUCAAAUGCAACAGAUAAUUUGAUUUCAUCGUAUUUAUCACACUAAUACAAUUCCAUUUCAAGUGAUUUCCUUUCUUGUUUCUUUUCUUUGACAGAAAAAGUAGCCCAACGACAUCCAGACAUUUCAUUCUCGUCAUGCCUGCGAGUUAAGGAUGCGAAUUAUUACGUGACGUAACAUCCAUGUAUUAAUCAUAACUGAAUCACGGCUGCAGGGAGUGCAACAGUGAUGUUUUUACCACUUUUGUUCUGCUCGUGCGUGCGCGCGCACAAAUGGAUGGAUGGUUGUGGACUGGGGGGUGGGUGGGAAAGGGGAAGCAGCUGUCACCAGACACUGAGGCGAUAUUAAAUCACCGGAGCUCACAGAAAGUGAUGGAGUCAGCUAAAGUGUGAGGGAUUGCUACCCACUCUGAGUAAAUCUUCGCUUUUUCAAGCCCUCUCAGGAAAAGCGCCUCCGCGCGAGGUGGAAACGACCAAGCCGCGCGGCUCCGUGGAUAAAGGGAUCCCCCUCUCCGCCCCUCCCUCCUCACCCCCUCACUGCAGGUCUAAACUGACUCCCAGACAGGGAAGCACACGGCGGAGGCACAGUCAGGCAGGGGGGCUGGGAUGAUGCUCAGAGUGGGACCACAUCAAAAUGAAACUGCUGCUGGACAGGGAAGUGGAUCUGCUGUUGCAGCCCGGAGCUGAAGAUGACCUGUUGGCCGGGCCAGCGGCUGCAACACAGGACAUGGGUCCUGCCUCCCCUGACCGCUCGUGUCUUGUGUUGCAGCCAGUGGAGCUGCCUGCUCAAACUCUCAGCCUGAAGAUGCACUGAGCUCCUGGAAUGCCAUCAUCCACAGGCGCCCUGAUCUCUUCACUUUACAACAAGCGUCUGCUCAACUACUGUUACUUUUGACAAAUCAACCAACUGUCCUCUCACCUGAGACAAUAAGCUGCUGUAGAUUAAAUGUAACUUGUGUUGCAUUUUUUAUUGAUAAAAGUAGGGAAAAACUAUAUAUUUUGGUUUUUGUUUACGAUGCAGUCCCUGCUCUCAGUCUAAAUCUAAUAUCUUAUUUUUAAAGUCACGUUUGUACAAGUAGCUAGUAGAGGCUAGUAGAGUAGUAGCUUUUAGAGGCUUGUGUGUACAUUUAAACAUAUUUAGCACCACUACAUUUUGAAAUGAUAAAACAAACCCUUGUAAUUGGAUUAUUUUACUUUGAUGAGUUAGGGAAAACGUGUUAGGAAAUUAAGAAAGACGCUGGAAAAUAUAACAUUUGAGUUGUGUAGUGGCAUUUUAUUCAACUGGAGUUUGCUAAUGCUAAUUAACUUGACAUUCGCAGCUUGAUGGAAUUCAUACAGCCCACCACCUUUCAUGCUAGACUUUUAAACCAAGAUCAGCUUAUGUUGAGCAAUUUGCAUCAAAUGUUGCUAAUAACAUUAAACUUGUAAGAUUGUA